UUUGAUCAUGGCUCAGGACGAACGCUGGCGGCGUGCCUAAUACAUGCAAGUCGUGCGGAACCUUCGGGUUCAGCGGCGGACGGGUGAGUAACACGUGGGCAACCUGCCCGACAGACCGGGAUAACGCUUGGAAACGAGUGCUAAUACCGGAUACGCUCUUGAAUCGCAUGAUUUGAGAGGGAAAGCUGCUUUUGCAGCACUGCCGGAUGGGCCCGCGGCGCAUUAGCUAGUUGGUGAGGUAACGGCUCACCAAGGCGACGAUGCGUAGCCGACCUGAGAGGGUGACCGGCCACACUGGGACUGAGACACGGCCCAGACUCCUACGGGAGGCAGCAGUAGGGAAUCUUCCGCAAUGGGCGCAAGCCUGACGGAGCAACGCCGCGUGAGUGAUGAAGGCCUUCGGGUUGUAAAACUCUGUCUUCUGUGAAGAACAAGCCUAUGAACAGAACGCUUAGGCCCUGACGGUAACAGAGGAGGA
rnacentral:rRNA from 1 species